ACAAUGGAGAGUUUGAUCCUGGCUCAGGAUGAACGCUAGCGGCAGGCUUAAUACAUGCAAGUCGUGGGGCAGCAUGGUGUAGCAAUACACUGAUGGCGACCGGCAAACGGGUGCGGAACACGUACAGAACCUUCCUUCGAGUGGUGAAUAGCCCAGAGAAAUUUGGAUUAAUACACCGUAACAUAUAAGAGUGGCAUCACUUUUAUAUUAUAGCUCCGGCGCUUGAAGAUGGCUGUGCGGCUGAUUAGGUAGUUGGCGGGGUAACGGCCCACCAAGCCUGCGAUCAGUAACUGGUGUGAGAGCACGACCAGUCACACGGGCACUGAGACACGGGCCCGACUCCUACGGGAGGCAGCAGUAAGGAAUAUUGGUCAAUGGACGCAAGUCUGAACCAGCCAUGCCGCGUGAAGGAUGAAGGUCCUCUGGAUUGUAAACUUCUUUUAUCUGGGACGAAAAAAGGGCUUUCUAGCUCAACUGACGGUACCAGAGGAAUAAGCACCGGCUAACUCCGUGCCAGCAGCCGCGGUAAUACGGAGGGUGCAAGCGUUAUCCGGAUUCACUGGGUUUAAAGGGUGCGUAGGCGGGUAGGUAAGUCAGUGGUGAAAUCCUGGAGCUUAACUCCAGAACUGCCAUUGAUACUAUCUAUCUUGAAUAUUGUGGAGGUAAGCGGAAUAUGUCAUGUAGCGGUGAAAUGCUUAGAUAUGACAUAGAACACCAAUUGCGAAGGCAGCUUGCUACACGGUGAUUGACGCUGAUGCACGAAAGCGUGGGGAUCAAACAGGAUUAGAUACCCUGGUAGUCCACGCCCUAAACGAUGGAUACGCGACAUCAGCGAUACACUGUUGGUGUCUGAGCGAA
rnacentral:rRNA from 1 species